UCCAUCUCAGGACCCGAGACCAUGACCUGAGCCAAAGGCAGAGGCUUAACCCAGGGCCACCCAGGCGCCCCUGAAUUAGAAAAGUACGUCUUUAAGGUGCUGCGUUAGUUUUAAAUGUGCUCCGUUCUCCCCAGAGCUGACGGAUGUGGGCUCAGUUAUGGCUCUCACGGUGCCAACUCCGGGACCUUGAACACCUGAGCUCUCCACCUCGGUGUGUCCAUCUACACACAAGGGUCACCUGAGCACUGGUCUUGGGGCCGCUGUGAGGCUCACCCAAAGGAAGCACCACGGUCUGUCCCGUAACAGCCUAUAACAGCCCUCGGUACAUCUGGGACAUGGUUAGGGUCACAGAAAACAGAUUACAUGAAUUCCCAUGAGAGAAUUAUUUGGCCUGUUACAUUCCAGAAGGCUGUGUGCCCACUACUGUGAGAGUGGAAAUCCUUCUAGAAUGAGCCCAAGCGUGGCUCCUGUUCCCUGUGCGACGACGGUCACAGUGUGACACCUCUACGGGCCUAAAUUUGGACCGUUCUAGGCAGCCCGGUGGCCUGCAGGCCGGGACUCGCUUAUGCUACACACGCUGCCCCAGCACCAGACGACACCGCAGCACAAUAGGAAAAGGGGGUCCUGAAGAGGUUUCAAAAGCCAAGGGGUGGUGAGGGCCCCAGGAGUCAGGACGCUGGUCCCGACAAAGGCGGCACGGCACCCAGCCCGGGAAGGGACAGCUGGAGUGCUCCCUCCCGAGACCUCCUCUGGAGGCGGCUGAGGCUGGGGGCCGAGGGACGCUUGAGUUCUGAGGCAGGCGGAGGAGCCGCACCCCCGGCUCAGAGGGACAAAGCCUGGGCUCUGAAUGUCCCAAGGUGAACUGAGGGCUCCUCUAGCCUGAACCUGGGGAGCAAAGGUCACAUGAAAGUACUCUGUCUUUACGCAGCUUUCCAGGACUUUCACGCUUUGCCGUAAUGUGCACAGGGUGAGCUGGGAGACCAGGCGGCUCUGCUGAGACAUCACAAUCUGUCCAUGUGGGCACAUGGCUUGGCGGAGCCCGAAACUGGCCAGGCGAACCCCCGCCUGCUCAGGGCCACAGGACGUCAGGAGUUGGAGCAGGACGGUGACUUGGGGGUGGACCCUGUGGCCACAUCCAUCUCCCUUUCCCAGUGGACCGGGGACUGAGGUCAGCUGUGCUGAGCGGCCCGGUGCCAGCUCUGGGCUCACAGGGCAGCCGGACAAAAGGCAUCAGCAAAGAUUCUGUGGUCCAGCUGGGCUCAGGCCGGUGGGGCCCUGUCCCCAGAGUCUCCUUGAGAGAAAGGGACCCGCAGAGGGGGCAGACGGAUGUAAGCACUGGUCCAGACAGAUGGACACCUUCCUCUGGUGACUUCAGCUCACCCCAGUGAACGACCAGCACUUCCAAGGACGCGACAGCAGCAGCAGCUCUCCUCCCGCACGUCAUGUCCGGGGAAGACACCUGCUCCUAACUCCUAUGGGACACCCCGGCCAGGAGCCCUUCCUUCCCUCCUCCAGGCUCAUCGACCCAACCGCCCCCGGCUCUCCGGGCAAGUCCUACAGGGAAUUCCAUGCCGAGUGUGUGGGAGGCGCUGGCUGAGCAGAGGCCGGCCACUUUCACGUGGACCCCAGCACUCACUGCCUGGGAAAAACUGGCGGGCGGGCGGGCAGGGGGUUCUCGGUGAGAGUGGCGGGCCCGGGCGCUAACAUAGCACAGCAGGGGCCACCGUGAGUCUCGGCACAGCAGCCCCCCGGGAGCGGAGCCCCCUCCCCACCUGUUUGAGCACAGCCAUGGUUCGAUAAAUACGCACGUGUGCUUUUUCCUUUUUUUCUUUUUUUUGAAGACUGAAUGGAAGAAAUGAUCAAGGCCUUUUUUCCUAUUGUGGCCAAAAGUCCAGCUGAGAACAGCUAUUUCAACAAAGUCUAGCUCCGUAGUUUCCAGGUUCUGAAGUGUGGACGUUUCACGGGGAAGGCCAGGACUUAACAUUGCUGGAAGCAGAGCUGCUCUGCUGCUGGGGGUGGGGGGAAGCGGGCCUGCCUGGCUCAGAUGGGCUGCAGCAGAGACCCCCGGUGUCUCGGGGGACAUGACCUCCAUGCGCAGCCGCAGCCACGUGCAUUCACGGCAAAGCCCCUGACACACCAUUAGGACCCCCCACCUCUGCUGCUUCAGAACACUGAUCCCCCCCGAUGCCCAUAACCUGACCUCCACCUCCUGGGCAGAACCAUGAUGUCACUCUCCAGCCACGCCCCUGGGACAGCCCACCCUUGUCCUCCAGAGGGCACCCCCACAUUUCUGUCCCCGUGGCUCUGUCUCAUUUCCUACCUCUCUGCCCACACCUGUCUUCCUAAGUGAUUCCCUUUCUGUCCUACCUGCUUUAUUCCAGGCCUUUCCUGAGCUGCCACCUCAGAGCGAGGACAGCCUGCAGCAGCCCGGACAGGUGUGCGCGCGCGUGUAUGUAUAUGUGUGUGUGCACGCAGCCAGCCACAUCUCGCAGCCAUGGCACCUGGGGGGGCCCUCCUGCCCUGGCAUGAGGAGGGAGCAGACAGGAGGCGGCGGCCCCGGCAGCCACGUGGGAGAUUCCCAAUUCAGGGCUCACAGGAGCCCCUCUGCCUGGCCUGCUCCUUAGCUUGGGGCUCUAGCUCUCCUGUGACCUCCACGGGGCCGUUGAGCGGAGGUUUCGGCUCAGGAAUCCUCUCCGGCUGCACGUGCCUGUGCCUGCCGGUCGGCUCACCGGUCCCAUGGCACACACCUCUGCCCAACGCGCACUCCAGUCCGGGUCCCUGCCCUCCCCCGUCUUUGCAAGGAGGGCGAGAAACACCCAAAAUGCCAGCAGAAAGGCAGGCCCCCAGCCCGUCCGGAGCGCUUCUGCCCGCUGCUCACCGGAGCUCCUGCUGGGCCGCCGUGGUGUCCAGGGUGUCCUCCAGCUCUGUCUUCAGCGCCUCCAACUCCUCGCUCAGGUCCCGCUUCUGCUU